GACUGAGUGAUUGCCGCUGAGAUUUUCUGAAGAGGAUCUGAAGGGGACACAUCAGCCUGCAGUAUCCCUAGCAAUGAUAUUGACAACACCUGCAAUAUCUUCUCCAGCUGAUGUUAUGAUC
rnacentral:lncRNA from 1 species